rnacentral:rRNA from 1 species
AUGAUCCAACGCAGGGCGGAUUCUAGAAGCUUGGACACACGGCACCGAUCAAGCAGCGAUCACACACGAAGCAGCUACGGCAAGGCUCGUACGUACGUCCCACGAGUUCUAUGCCGGAGAUUAGCAGCAAGAAGAGUAGUGGUAGUUCAAGGCGGUCAAAACCGAUUGACAAGGACGCAGCGCGGCGUUGCCGUCGAGACCCGCGUACGUGUCCGUCAGGAGCACCGCCCGCGGCCGCCCCCGCGCUCGCGACGCGAACAGCGAAGCAGUCGUCGCCGUCGGGCCAGCACGGCGCCGGACACGGCCAAUAGAACGCUUUUUCCCUUCCCGACAACGAGUCGCCGGUCACCAGCACCCCUUCCUCACAUGGCUCCCCUUGGGCCGCAUUUACCAGAUCGGACGAGACAGACGCGACGAGGCGAUGAUGGAACCACCGGCGAUACAGGUCACAGGUGUCAGCCGCGCGGCCGAGAGGUCGGCUGCCGCCGCUCUGUGGCUCGGCGUACGUCGGUCUCGGAAUGGUGUCUUUGGUCAAAACCGGGGGAAAACGCUGGCGCCGAUGGACGCCGAUGCCGAUGCCGAUCGCGACCGUGCCGUGCCGCGUCGCCGGGCUGCGCGAUCGAUCGUCCCGUCAAUAUGCUCUUCCGUGAUUGCUAG